rnacentral:rRNA from 1 species
UCAAGUGAAGAAGCGCAUACGGUGGAUGCCUUGGCAGUCAGAGGCGAUGAAAGACGUGGUAGCCUGCGAAAAGCUUCGGGGAGUCGGCAAACAGACUUUGAUCCGGAGAUCUCUGAAUGGGGGAACCCACCUAGGAUAACCUAGGUAUCUUGUACUGAAUCCAUAGGUGCAAGAGGCGAACCAGGGGAACUGAAACAUCUAAGUACCCUGAGGAAAAGAAAUCAACCGAGAUUCCCUUAGUAGUGGCGAGCGAACGGGGAUUAGCCCUUAAGCUUCAUUGAUUUUAGCGGAACGCUCUGGAAAGUGCGGCCAUAGUGGGUGAUAGCCCCGUACGCGAAAGGAUCUUUGAAGUGAAAUCGAGUAGGACGGAGCACGAGAAACUUUGUCUGAACAUGGGGGGACCAUCCUCCAAGGCUAAAUACUACUGACUGACCGAUAGUGAACCAGUACCGUGAGGGAAAGGCGAAAAGAACCCCGGAGAGGGGAGUGAAAUAGAACCUGAAACCGUAUGCGUACAAGCAGUGGGAGCCUACUUGUUAGGUGACUGCGUACCUUUUGUAUAAUGGGUCAGCGACUUAUAUUCAGUGGCAAGCUUAACCGUAUAGGGUAGGCGUAGCGAAAGCGAGUCUUAAUAGGGCGUUUAGUCGCUGGGUAUAGACCCGAAACCGGGCGAUCUAUCCAUGAGCAGGUUGAAGGUUAGGUAACACUGACUGGAGGACCGAACCCACUCCCGUUGAAAAGGUAGGGGAUGACUUGUGGAUCGGAGUGAAAGGCUAAUCAAGCUCGGAGAUAGCUGGUUCUCCUCGAAAGCUAUUUAGGUAGCGCCUCAUGUAUCACUCUGGGGGGUAGAGCACUGUUUCGGCUAGGGGGUCAUCCCGACUUACCAAACCGAUGCAAACUCCGAAUACCCAGAAGUGCCGAGCAUGGGAGACACACGGCGGGUGCUAACGUCCGUCGUGAAAAGGGAAACAACCCAGACCGCCAGCUAAGGUCCCAAAGUUGUGGUUAAGUGGUAAACGAUGUGGGAAGGCUUAGACAGCUAGGAGGUUGGCUUAGAAGCAGCCAUCCUUUAAAGAAAGCGUAAUAGCUCACUAGUCGAGUCGGCCUGCGCGGAAGAUGUAACGGGGCUCAAACCACACACCGAAGCUGCGGGUGUCACGUAAGUGACGCGGUAGAGGAGCGUUCUGUAAGCCUGUGAAGGUGAGUUGAGAAGCUUGCUGGAGGUAUCAGAAGUGCGAAUGCUGACAUGAGUAACGACAAUGGGUGUGAAAAACACCCACGCCGAAAGACCAAGGGUUCCUGCGCAACGUUAAUCGACGCAGGGUUAGUCGGUUCCUAAGGCGAGGCUGAAAAGCGUAGUCGAUGGGAAACAGGUUAAUAUUCCUGUACUUCUGGUUACUGCGAUGGAGGGACGGAGAAGGCUAGGCCAGCUUGGCGUUGGUUGUCCAAGUUUAAGGUGGUAGGCUGAAAUCUUAGGUAAAUCCGGGGUUUCAAGGCCGAGAGCUGAUGACGAGUCGUCUUUUAGAUGACGAAGUGGUUGAUGCCAUGCUUCCAAGAAAAGCUUCUAAGCUUCAGGUAACCAGGAACCGUACCCCAAACCGACACAGGUGGUCGGGUAGAGAAUACCAAGGCGCUUGAGAGAACUCGGGUGAAGGAACUAGGCAAAAUGGCACCGUAACUUCGGGAGAAGGUGCGCCGGCUAGGGUGAAGGAUUUACUCCGUAAGCUCUGGCUGGUCGAAGAUACCAGGCCGCUGCGACUGUUUAUUAAAAACACAGCACUCUGCAAACACGAAAGUGGACGUAUAGGGUGUGACGCCUGCCCGGUGCCGGAAGGUUAAUUGAUGGGGUUAGCGCAAGCGAAGCUCUUGAUCGAAGCCCCGGUAAACGGCGGCCGUAACUAUAACGGUCCUAAGGUAGCGAAAUUCCUUGUCGGGUAAGUUCCGACCUGCACGAAUGGCGUAACGAUGGCGGCGCUGUCUCCACCCGAGACUCAGUGAAAUUGAAAUCGCUGUGAAGAUGCAGUGUAUCCGCGGCUAGACGGAAAGACCCCGUGAACCUUUACUGUAGCUUUGCACUGGACUUUGAGCCUGCUUGUGUAGGAUAGGUGGGAGGCUUUGAAGCGUGGACGCCAGUUCGCGUGGAGCCAUCCUUGAAAUACCACCCUGGCAUGCUUGAGGUUCUAACUCUGGUCCGUAAUCCGGAUCGAGGACAGUGUAUGGUGGGCAGUUUGACUGGGGCGGUCUCCUCCUAAAGAGUAACGGAGGAGUACGAAGGUGCGCUCAGACCGG